rnacentral:miRNA from 1 species
AAUAGGGACUUCCUCAGGGACCACAAUAUUAAGAAACAAUUUGAUACAAUACAAUCAAAGAACAGCCUAACCUGGCUGUUCUUUGAUUGUAUUGUAUCAAAUUGUUUCUUAAUAUUGUGGUCCCUGAGGAAGUCCCUAU